GCUCCAGGCUUCGGUAUCACUCUUUACCAGUUGCUGGCAGAAGCACCAAGAGCUUCUGCGUGCUGCCUAUGGGCAGGGUCAGUCAGGGUGGUCUGUGGGUUGCUGAAGCUGCAGGCCUUGGUCUGGGGCUGUUGCCUUUGGGCAGUGUCAGAACAGAGAGCUUGAGUCCCUUCCAAGGCUGAGGCCUGAGCUGUCUGUGCCACCAUCUGAGCCACCUCCGGAAGAGGUUGGCCCCCUGAGCCCAGGCGCCAUGGCAGGAGGGUGAGGGGACAGGCCAGCGAGCAGCUAGGGCCCUCAGGUGGGUACUGAGCGCCUGUGUGCACAUGGUGUGAAGUGGCCUUGAUGGGCCUCACCAAUGCUACUUGCUGUGCUGGAACUGCGUGGAGUCCCGAGGGAGCCACAUGGAGUCCCGAGGGUGGCAGAGGGAGACCCGACCCCCGGUGGGACCAGGAUGUCCUCACCAAGGAGGAGCAAGGCGCUGGCUUUUGACAGUGAGCACAGGGAGAGGCCUGCAGGAGCUGGGGGAGGUGGGGAGCCAGGCUAUUGGUACGGAUACCUGUAAGAGAGGAGGCUGGGAAAUGGGGGACCACUGUCCUGCCUUCCUGGGGAGGGGACUCGCGGGACACUGUGUGUGAAACCAGGGAAGUUCAGGUGAAUUGGGGUACGUUUGUCACGCUUCUGAAAAGCACCUGAUUUCAGACAGAAACAGACUGGUGAGGUGCUGAGAACCACCACGUGGCAUGCAAGUGUGAGGGGAGGAAGAGAAAGUGUCCAAGUCCUUUGUCCAGCCAGUGGCAGACCUGGCUUUUCAAGGCAGGUCUGUUUGGUUUCGAAGCUGGUUAUUUGCACUGCAGGUGCUUGUCCAAGGAUGUGGAUUUAGGAGGCUGUGGGAGGGUAUUGUGGUCCUAAAGCUGUUCUGCUGUGCGACCCUUGACUUCCCUGUCUGUGGCAGCAGGCGGUUCCUGCCUUAUGCUCUCCUGUUUGUGCCAGGGUCUGGCCAAAGCAGGCUGCAGUGAGCCGUGUGGGCAUGACCAAGCCCGGGCCUGGCCCCUCUGCAGCCAACCAGCCUGCAGGACUGGCCACAGAGCUGUCACUCCCCAGGCCAUUGUGUUGGAGAGCCCAGCUGGGAGGCUGUCCCUUCCCUAAGCAGGUAACAUGCAUGCCCUCUGCCCAGGCCCAGCUCACCCCGACCAGCGUGGAAGUGUCCUAUAAGACGCCAUGGGGACAGGCAGGAAGUGCUCAUGGGCUGACUCGACUCGAAGGUUCCUGACACAGACCCAUAAGCAAGCAGGUGGGGAGGACCAGGCUGUGGGAGGAAGUCAGCCAGGAGGUGCAGCCAGGGCUCGAGGGCCUGGCAGCCAGGGUGGCAGGCAGCACACUUGUCUGGUCAGAGGGCACAGGCGUCUGGACAGGUGGCCCAGACCUGAUGACAGGAGUCUGGCAGGAGCGCCAGAUCCUGUGUGCCUGAGUCUGCAGGAAGGCUGCAGAUGGUGGUCAGAAGGCUGCUGCCCUGGGGGCAGGAAGCCAGGCACAGGGACAUCCCCCCCACGCUGGGACGUGGGAGGGGUGAGGGUGGCACAUACACCUAGUGUUAGGCAGCCCAGCGCUCAGCGUGACCUGGCUGUCAGGCUGCCUGCUGCAAAGGGCACCCCAAGGUCAGGACAUCCAUGUGCUCCACUACAUAGCUGCAAGGAUGGAGGCCUGGGGUGACCCCUGCCUGGAUGCCGUGCCUGGAGAAACUGCCAGGGAGCCCAGCAUCAGACUCGGGAGGAAGAGAAAUCCUAGUCCACCUUGGCCUCGUCAGGGCUGUGGGUCCAGGUCAAAGGAGAUGUCUUGGUCAUUAAAAUGUGGAAGCAGGACAGUUGCUGGAAAAAACAUGCAGGGUAGGGCUUCCUGCUUCUCUGCCUUAGCAAGGUCAAGUUUUGGGAAGCACGGAGGGCCACAUGGGAGGGGCUCCCAUAGACUCGCUGUCCAGCGGUGGGGAGGAAGACGACUGGUACUGGCCAGGAACAAGAGCUCUGUCCUGGGCAUGAGCCGGCUUGGGGCUCUCUGAGCCUCUUAGGAGGCAUCUGGGAGAAGGGGAGGGUAGAGUCAUUUCUUAAUAGAGACAAAAUUUCUUAUUAGGGUGGUAAAAACAAUUUGGAAAUAGCGGUGAUAAUUGUAUAUUUUGAAUAUAGUUAAUGCCAUCAAAUUGUACACUUAAAAAUAGUUAUGUAUAUUGUGAUAUGUAUAUAAAGGCAAAUGAAGGUCACAGAAAACAAGAUUCUAGACAAAGGGAGAUAAAGCACGGACAACCAAGUGCCGCGUGGUAACUGGGAUUGCAGUCUGCAGUAGAAACAGGACCAUUUAACGUCCGCUGAGGAGAAGCUGGUGAAAUCUUCAUACUGUCUUCAGGCCACACUUUCUUCCAGGAAUGUCUCAGUGUCCUUAGACACUGGCCCGGGAUUUCUCAACUUCUGUAACCCCACACGGGGAAAGGUGUGGUAAUGCUCCCUCCAGAGUUCUCUAAGGCUUAAAUCCGAGACCAUCUAGAAGCGCUUCAGGAGCAGUUCCUUGGUGUAUAGCUUCUUACAGUGAGCUGCACCCGUGGUCCAUAGGCUGCAGUGGAGGAUUCUCCUAGGCGGGAGGAACUCGACGGAGAGCCGUGGGAAUUCUCCAGCCAGUUCUUCCUCCGAAGCCCAAGGGUGAGCGGGAGCACUGUCCCUGAUGAGGAGAGCCUUCAGUGGUAAACUUUGUUCUUCCGGUAUUUCUUAAUAGGACUGAAAGCCUCCCUGAUCUCCUCAAGAUGAAGUAUUCUUGUUACCCGGGCUUUUGCAUUAGACAAUUAGCUCAUUCUUCAUGACAUUUUGUUUUGUUUUCUGAACACUCCGGGGGUCUCAGAGAGAUAAUCAAGGGAGACUUUAUCUUGAGGUCACCACUGGAAUUGGUACCUAGUAAUAGUCAGCCUAUACUUCAUAGACUUGUGUCCUGACACUUUCUUCUCUUCCUGAGUACCUAAUAUAUGUUCCUAACAAGAGACAUUAUGUUCUCCUGGUCAUUUUUUCCCAGGAAAGGCCAGUUGCAUCACAGUUGAGAACUUGAUAGCAAAAGACACUUCUCUGGUGUCAUCAUUUCACAGUGUGCAUGAAAUUGUCAGCAGCCCUUUAUCAGCACUGGCUGCUUGAUCUUGCCUUUAUACACUAGGAAACCCAGUUCUCACCUUAAAAUUGGGAAGCCGCCUCUUACUGGCAUAAUGUUUCACCAUCAUCACUCAUUGAUGGAUUAGCUUUACCAGAUCUGCAUUCAGAGCCCCAGGUUUCUCACACGUUAUAGACUGGGGCAGGCUAUAACCUGCCAUCUGCCUUUCACUUACCCAUGCUAACGAUGGCUUUUCUACCUCAUCUGACACUGCUGAUUCUGACUUAUCAUUGUGAGCAACACCGUUAGCAACACUAGCUUCCUCAUAUAAAUGUUUUCUCUGUAAGACUGUCAAGUUGUCAUACAUAUUAGCGAGACUGGUCAUAUGGAUGCCUUUCUCAUAUUUCUCCACAAUUUUCUUCCUUUUCAUUGCAGUUGCUUUCGUUACCUUCCUUUUCUUUCUUGGCUAUUUUUCUAGCUUUUAGGGAGUCAUUGUGAUAGUAGUAAUUUUAGUGAGUGUAUAAAGCACUGACCAAAACCAUGUCCGGAAACACAUGCAUCUCAACUCAGACUAAUCUUUACAAUCACUUACAUACACUUUUAUGGCAUCUUGUCUUUGUUUAUAACCACACAACCAGCUAUUUGGGCCUCAACUCAAGACUUUUUGUCAUUCACUAAACCUAAAAGUCCCAUUAUAACCAAGUCAUCUAUGUAAGACCAGCCAUAACUCAAGGGUCCACUGUAACCCAGACAGAAUUUGGUACCAGAGGUGGAGUUUUGCUGUGACUAUAUCUGACCGUGUCAUGUAGGAGUCUUAGGAACUAACUUGCGGGAGGAGAAAGAGUUAGGAAAUGUGGGGCUGGGGAUUUAGCUCAGUGGCAUAAGCGCCUGCCUUACAAGCAGGCAGUCAUGAGUUCGAUCCCUGGUACCGAUAAAAACAAAAAAGGACAAAAAAAAAAAAAAAAAAAAAAAAGAGUUAGGAAAUGUUUGGAGACGCCAACUGAAAAAGUAGAGCUGAAGUGUCUGAAUCCGUACUUGAUGAGAGAUUCUAGUCUGAGCUCAGAAGACCUGAAGGCUGAUAGAAAUCCAGCCAGUAAAGACCAGGUUCACAAGUUUUCUGCUGGGAAGGACUGCACUGCCUGUGAACUCUAGAGAAUGUGUGCUACACCUUGACAGAAAGCUUCUCUGCAUUCUGCUUGUGUCCAGAGACUUUGCCUGAGACUACUAUUAAGGGCAGCUAAUAAUCUGGAAGAAGAAAUUUUAAGGCAUUCCAAUGUUGAGACAGUGGCAUGGCUACUACUGGGGGCUUUUAGCUAGAUCUACUUCAGAAUUAAGGGCAAACAGCUCAGCAGAAUGAAUUAAAACGUGAGUCUGGCCAGAAAGGAAGCCCCCAUAAAACUGUGGACUGCAUGAUAAAGCAGAGUAGAUCUAUAGAUUGCUGAGAAGGAAGAGGACAAUAAAAAAGACAAUAAAAAAGAUGGCCUGGGGACAUCACAAGAAAAAUGCAGGAUUUCAACCUUUGCAGCCUCAAAAUUACAAAAGACUUUGAUAAGAAAAGUGCCCCAGAGCACUACGUUCUAGAAUAGUGGCAGCAUAGAGAAGCUGUUCCUUGGGAUCUGGUUCAUAGGCAUUUGAUCCCUGUUUCCUGGAGAGAAGGAAGCCUGGCUAAUGCUUCAGCUGGUGGCAGACCUUGGCAUCACCCCUGUUGUGCUGGUUUUAGUGGCAUGCAGAGUGCAAAAGUGAUGGGGUCGGGAAGGAUUCUACCUAGAUUCCAGAAGAAGACCUGGAAGGCCAGGCAGUGUGGCUCCGAGAUGGCAGUGUGUAAAGUUAUAAGCUGAAGAUGUAGGGGAGUCCCCAGAAGUUUGGAGAAGCCAGGAACAAGGCUUACUGAGCAAAACUGCAAGGAGAGAGCAGAGCCAGCCCAAAAGAGAAGACUGGAAGCUACAACACCUGAAGUAUCGUAGGAGAAGAGCCUCCCAAGCCCUUCAAGUUCAUGUCUUGCCUCAGGUUGCCUUGGACGCUGGACAUGGAUCUCUGGAAUUUAACGUUUGCCCCGCUGGAUUUUAGGCUUAGUUCAGUCCCAUUCCUUUGUGUUCCCCUAUUUGUAACUGUUGGAAUGGUAAUGUUUAUGUGAUGUCAUUAUAUGUUUCACUUUCUUCUCUUUUGUACAGGAGCUUGCAGCUAAGAGUUUGCUGCUAAUCUCAGAGAAUUUGGAUUUGGACUUUUUAGCAAUGCUGAAAUUGUUAGGAAUUUGGCAACUCUUGGAGAUAGAAAGAAAUGCCUUUUGCCUAAAGGAAUGUAUCUGAGUGUUUGGGGACCAGGGGCAGAAUGUUAUGGCUUGUGUCUAGAUGUCCCCCUAAACCUUGGGUGGAGCUUUUCUAGGAGUGAUUUGAUCUAGAAUGUGUAAUACAGGGAUGAAGGGUGUUUGAUUACUAUAUCAGUCCACUUACUGGUUUGGCACUGACCUAAUCAAGCAGCCUAGAGAAAAUAUCAAAGGGGCAGAAAGAAGCCACUAAUGUUCCUGGCUUGCUUUGCCACCUUCUGCCCGCAUGAACUAUUUCUCCUUUGCCAUGCUUGUGUGCCACGACACCUGCCUUGUGUCAGCUGAUUAUGGACUGAAAACCCCACAAACUGUGAGCCAAAAUAAACCUGUCCCCCUUAA